GUGGCCUAGUGGUUAGAGCGUCUGCCUCAGAUGCGUGAUGUCGUGGGUUCGAUCCCCGGUCAAGUCA